GGGUGCGUAGCUCAGUGGUAGAGCGUUGUCUUCACAUGGCAGGGGUCGCUGGUUCAAUUCCAGCCGCGCCCACCA
rnacentral:tRNA from 1 species